ACGGAGGGGGUUAGCGUUGUUCGGAAUUAAUGGGCGUAAAGCGUACGUAGGCGGAUUAAUAAGUUAGAGGUGAAAUCCCAGGGCUCAACCCUGGAACUGCCUUUAAAACUGUUAGUCUUGAGAUCGAGAGAGGUGAGUGGAAUUCCAAGUGUAGAGGUGAAAUUCGUAGAUAUUUGGAGGAACACCAGUGGCGAAGGCGGCUCACUGGCUCGAUACUGACGCUGAGGUACGAAAGUGUGGGGAGCAAACAGG
rnacentral:rRNA from 1 species